ensembl:lncRNA
AAAACAGCUCGCCUGUUACAAUUGCUGCUGCUGAAUGCACAUGUGUUGCUGGAAAAGUCCUGUGCAAUCACAAUGUUGGACUUCUUUUUCAAACGGCACAUUACUCAACCCUGAGACUGAAGGCAGUUCCCCCCGUCCUUAGCUGCACAGAAACAGAGCAGAAAUGGCAUAAGCCACGGACUAUGGGUGUGAAACCAGGUAGAGUGAGUGACAUGGUCGUCAUUUCUACAAAGCUUAAACCUAGGCAGUACACAGUCGCUGAUGGUGUAAGGAGUAAGCGCUACAAAGCAGUGCUGGGGGACUUGCCGGACCCAGAUGUCCUGAAAGUUGCUGAGGCUUACAAAGACUUCACAGCAGACAUUGCUCCACUGAUAACCACCAUGGCAAUAACCGAGGAUGUUCCCCUUGUUCAGUCAGCAUUUGGACCAGUCCAGGAAGGUAGCCCCAUCUCUUACCAGCAUCCAGUACCAAUUAGUCGGGUAAUAGUCUGCCACCCAGACAGCCCCCCUCCACCACCUCUGCCAUUAGAAGGCUAUAGGCUGGAUCCCUCCACCUGUAAUUUUGUGUGUACUCAUGAACAGCAUCUCCAGUUAAUGUCACUUGCCAUUACCUUGGAUAUGGCAAGGAAGAUAGAGAUGGCUACAAGGGACCAGAGCAACAGUGUGGAGUGGCACCAAGUCAGGAAGCCGAGGCUCA